GGACAGCUCUCUGUUGGUCUUCUCCCAUUUCGUAGCAGGGACAAACCAUUGUGUAAAAGGGCCUCCUGUGUCUGCUACAAAGUUUAUUUGGUGCACUGCUUGAUUCUCUGCCAUUCAGCAGUUAGAACCACUUUAUAUAUGGGAAAAACACCUCUUACGAUCUAUUCCAGCACAAUGUAUUUUAUUCACACAACUUCUAAAAG